GAUGAAGAACGUAGCGAAAUGCGAUAAGUAGUGUGAAUUGCAGAAUUCAGUGAAUCAUCGAAUCUUUGAACGCACAUUGCGCCCCUUGGUAUUCCAUGGGGCAUGCCUGUUCGAGCGUCAUUUGUACCCUCAAGCUAUGCUUGGUGUUGGGUGUUUGUCCUCUCCUUUGCGAUUGGACUCGCCUUAAAGACAUUGGCAGCCAGUGUAUUGGUCUUGAAGCGCAGCACAUUUUGCGAUUCUUGCUGAUAAUCACUAGCGUCCAGUAAGCCUAUUUUAACACUUUUGACCUCGGAUCAGGUAGGGAUACCCGCUGAACUUAAGCAUAUAAUAAGCGGAGGA
rnacentral:misc_RNA from 1 species